AUCGAACGCUGGCGGCAGGCCUAACACAUGCAAGUCGAGCGAGCGGCGGACGGGUGAGCAAUGUAUGGGGACUGCCCGAUAGAGGGGGAUAACUACUGGAAACGGUGGCUAAUACUGCAUAAUACCGGAUAACCCACAUGGGAUUAGCUAGUGGGUGGGGUAAAGGCUCACCUAGGCGACGAUCUCUAGCUGGUCUGAGAGGGUGAUCGGCCACACGGGGACUGAGACACGGCCCAGACUCCUACGGAGGCAGCAGUGGGGAAUAUUGCACAAUGGGCGCAAGCCUGAUACAGCCAUGCCGCGUGUAUGAAGAAGGCCUUAGGGUUGUAAAGUACUUUCAGCGGGGAGGCGUUACCCGCAGAAGAAGCACCGGCUAACUCCGUGCCAGCAGCCGCGGUAAUAC
rnacentral:rRNA from 1 species